AUCAAGACCAAAAAUGAUAGUCAGCCUCUGUGCUCUUCGAGUAAUAUUCAUCCCCCUUUUCAUGUUGUGCAACGCACAUCCUCGAACGCUUCUACCAGUGUUGUUCAAAUCUGACAUCUGCUUCGUCAUCUUCAACGUGAUAUUCGGUCUUUCCAACGGUUUUCUUUGCACUGUUGUAAUGACACAGGGUCCACAAAAAACACUUCCAGAAUUCCGACAGACAGCAGCCUCUAUACUGGCAGCUGGAUUAGGCCUUGGACUAAUGCUUGGUUCUGUGUCAUCCUAUUUAUUUGUUAAGCUGUUGUGAAAACACCUGUUCUUCGGACAAAAAGGAAAAUUUAGAAAAAAAUAGCUAUGAUUAUAUAUUUUCAGAAUAUCAAACUGUAUAGUCCAAACUUUAACCAAAUAAACAUCUGGUUUCAUGUCAUCAUUGUAAUAAACUAUAAAA